UAACCUCGACCUGUAAGCCAGGCCAGGGACAGUGUCAGGUGGGCAGUUUGACUGGGGCGGUCGCCUCCUAAAGUGUAACGGAGGCGCUCAAAGGUUCCCUCAGAAUGGUUGGAAAUCAUUCGCAGAGGGUAAAGGGAUAAGGGAGCUUGGCUGCGAGAGAGACAACUCGAGCAGGGAGGAAACUAGGACUUAGUGAUCUGG
rnacentral:rRNA from 1 species